rnacentral:misc_RNA from 1 species
AACGCAAAUUGCGCUUCUGGGUAGCCCUAGGAGCACGCCUCUCUCAGUAUCGGUUCCUUCUCAGACUAGCAGCGUCGCUUGCUUCUACAAGCCAGCGAGGUGUUCUAGUGACUGGAUGGUGAGAGCUUCGAACUGACCUUUUCCCUUCGGGGUGGGUGGGUUCGUCUCUUGAAAAGAUAUGAAAGAUUGCUUGGCAGACUGCCCUCUAUCAAGUGAUGAGACUAACUAACCGUUCAGUGUACAUCAUGUUUUCGAUAGCAGUGUGUUUUCUGUCGUGUCGUCAAUUCUUUCGAGUGUGACUUUGUUCUCCCUGGCGAAUGACAAAAGCUUUGUGAGGACGGUCCAACCCCUUUCUAAGUGGGUUGAACACUAACCAAAAAAUCAACUUGAUCUGAGAUGAGGUGAGAUUACCCCCUGAAUUUAA